AGAAAAUAAUGGAAACAAUAAACAUUCUUAAGAGGAAAGCUGAUUAAAUUGUGGUACAUCCAGGGAAAACGGUGCCCUAUAGUGAGAUUCCCAGGAAGCAUCACUUUUCCUGAUAAGGACUACGAUGGCUGAGACUGAAUGUUUACAAGAACAGUUGUUGCCUCAGGAAGACUACACCCUGGAACAUCCUCACUCAGAAAACAAUCACAGGAUGUAGAAGCCACCAGAAGGCAGGGAAGCUCUUACAAUAUGUUGAGGAGAAGGUUGUUCUUCAAGCAAGUGUGUCCCAAGGACCUUCUCAGCAACACUAGGAGAUAAUAAAACAUUCAGGUAAAACUACCAGUGCUGCCAAGAUGAGCUCUAUAACCAAGGGGACUUCCAAGUGCCUCAGGAAUCCUCAGUACCCAAUGGCAUUAAGUGUCCUGCCUGCUACAACGUGUAUGAUGUUUCCUGCGACCCAGUUCUUCUUGCCUGCACUGGUACAGAGACAAAGCGUGUGGAAGUUAUUGGCAUAGAUCAACUCUGAUACAACAUGGGAGAAGAGUAUACAAGGACAUGAAUACUAAGAGAUCGCAGGCCAUCCUAGAGACUAACUACUAUGUACAGCAAAGGCUGAUACAGGGCCAAGUCCUAGUUCACUCUCCAAAGUUUGGAGGGAGCCAUCUGUCAGAAGAGAGAAGGGGGAGAGGAGAGGACGAGGAGAGGAGAGGGAAGAUGAAGAGAACACAACUGCUUUCCACAGGAAAGUCUGACACUUGGGAACAUGUCAUAUCAUGAUCUCCUCGAAUGGGAACUUGGGUCAUUGGCCAUCACCCUCUUCAACAAAGAGGGUGAUACCUCAGUUCUGGUUUUUUUCAUCACUACCAUUAUUGCUAUUACCCA